rnacentral:rRNA from 1 species
AUUGAACGCUGGCGGCAGGCCUAACACAUGCAAGUCGAACGAGUGGCGGACGGGUGAGUAAUGUCUGGGAAACUGCCUGAUGGAGGGGGAUAACUACUGGGAACGGUAGCUAAUACCGCAUACCAUCGGAUGUUCCCAGAUGGGAUUAGCUAGUAGGUGGGGUAAAGGCUCACCUAGGCGACGAUCCCUAGCUGGUCUGAGAGGGUGACCAGCCACACUGGAACUGAGACACGGUCCAGACUCCGACGGGAGGCAGCAGUGGGGAAGAUUGCACCAUGGGCGCAAGCCGGAUGCAGCCAUGCCGCGGGUAUGAAGAAGGCCUUCGGGUUGUAAAGUACUUUCAGCGGGGAGGCGUUACCCGCAGAAGAAGCACCGGCUAACGCCGUGCCAGCCGCCGCGGUAAUAC